GUUUCCUUAGCUGUGUGGGCUAAAAUAUUUAACUACCAAAAGGAACAAACACUCCAUCUUGUGGCUAGGAAAAAAAUAGCACCUCCCUCAAACCUGACUGUUGUGUGUUGAAUCAUUACCCUGUAGGUCAAGCGUCAUAAAUAUCCAGAGUGGUGCUGAGAGGAGCAACCUGAACCCUGAGCUCAAAGAAUUCCUUGCCUGAGCUAUCAAAGAUUUCGGUUGAGAUGUAUUACUUUCAAAGA
rnacentral:lncRNA from 1 species